UUUCAAGUUUCGAAGUUUUGACUUCUCUCUUGCUCAGAAGUGCAAAGCAGUAUAAAAGUUUACUAGAGCUCUCGUGACUCGUGCACGCUCAUAAGCAAAUCAGCGACCUUUUGAUCAGUCGUUUGUCUCGGAGACUGAAACCUUAUUGUUAGACAUGUUUAUUUUACGUAGAGCUUUAACUCAGUAACAAAAAACGCUCAGUGUUUAUUUUUCUACUUGAUAUAGCUUAAUAUGCAAAUUUUUGCUGCGAAUUAUUUCGGAAAUCAACAACUUAACACUUAAAUUAGCCUUAAUGUAAAAUGAAUGGGAAGUAGAGUGUUGGACUGUUGUAUACUGAGUGUUCGUUAACUUUAUGUAAUACCCUUUACCAACACCCUUAUUUCAAUGUAAGCAUUUUAAUUGUUGUUUCAUCUGAACAGUGUUAGAAGGUGUUUAUUUUUCUGUAAAUUUUACAGAUCCACAAAUCCUUACAUGUUAUUUUGUUGCAUCAGGGUGGUGGUAUGUUAGUUCUACACAAAGACUAUUUUUUACUUAAACAUGUAUUAAUCUAUAUUCUUUAUAAUAAAUGAAACAGUGAUAAAAAGCCCCUACAACUUCAAAUGCACACUACUCAGGACCCCCUCCCACAGCCCACCCCAACAAUCCAUGACAGGGCAAGAACUGCUCUCUCUCGUCUACACUGAGUCAUUCUGUAUUUGUGUUACAGCUGAGGAAGAACAGCACCACUCUGGACAAAAGUUUUUCAGAAAUGUUGGAGGAGGGAGCAGAUUUACUGGGUAUAUUUGCUACAGCGCUACAUUGCUCUGGGCUGUGUGGGGCGGAGGAGACCAGGGAGGAGAGGACGGGGUCAUAACACCCCCCUCCUCUCCACCUCCUCUCAGCCAGAGGUGGAAGUUUUUAUAAAAGCCUUUUUUUUUCUCUCCACACUUUAAUAGUGCUUUUAACAUGAGCAAUGUUGGUGAGAUGUGAGGAACUUACAUACUCUAUGCUGAGAUUAUUAAUUCAGUUUAUAUUCAGUAUGAUAAAAGCAUGCAAGGAGGAGUUUAACAAGUUCUGUGGUACAGAGCAAUCUACCCCCAGGGUGUAAGAGAGACAAAACUGAAGGUUGACAGAACAGUAGAGAUUACAUUUCAAAGUGUUUCCAACUCUCAAUACUUUGAAGAUAUGGAUUAUACCCUAAGAGUCACGAUAAGACUUAUACAAAGCCAAAAGUACAUUUUAUCUCAAGUUAUUAUGUUGCAAUUGAUUAUUCAAACGUAUUAUUUGUUUGUCACAGAUCAUGCAAAUGAAUGGUAAUGGCUGUGUGCGUUCAGAGUGUUUGCGCAGGGUGGCCUGUAGAGGGAGUACUUCAUUUUAAUCCGUGUUUGACAGGGUCCACUACAUUUCUUUCCUUGGCUCUCCUGUUGUUUGUUGAACAGUGAGAGGGAGCAGGAGAGAGUUUGAAAUGGUAAUAAGAGGGCUCCAGCUGUGCAAUGAGUUUCUUCAAGUGUCAAGACUGACGAUUAGGGUUGAAAGUGACGCUGAAAUGAUGCCUGCUUUUUGACUCGAAAAUAUAAACAAAGUUGGAGCAAAGAACUGAAGAAGCUGGAAACAGGAUACUGGCACAAAGAUAAAUGUACUGUAGUUGGGAAGAGAAGUUGUUGGGGAAGAGUGUCAGGGUUUGAAGGCUGGAAAUAGUGAAGUGAUGAAAAUAUGAUUAUUGAAAUAGAAUUUCCUAUCUUGAGAUUAGCAUGUGAAAUGUCAGGGGUCAUUUUCCUGUCUGACCAGGUUUCUUGUCCUGUUGAUCAUGAGGAAGGGUGGACUCCCCAAUCUGAGUCAUUCUUACUGAACAGGCAUCAUCACUGUAAAAAUCAUAAUUUAACCGACGCCUGUGCCCGAAAGUAACAUUUAUGAUUAUUGAAGAUUAUUUUUAGACACAAUUAUGGGAAUACAUUUUCAAAUGUACUGUUUUACAAGAAAGGCAGAAAAUAGUAAAGCACUUUUUUUUUUUCAAAUGCACGAUAGACAGUCUAAUAAAUCUGUUAAGCAUUGUAUGUGCUUAAAUUUAUUAGACCACCUGCUAUAAUAACAGAAUACACAAAUAUUUUAGGAAUCUGUCAAAAACUUGUUUAAAACUAAAAUUUGUAUUGUAAUUUAUUAGGCAAAUAACAAACUGAAAUAGUCUUUAAUCACACAUAAUAACCCAAAAAACUUAAUAUUUUGUAUGGCCUCCUUUGGCCUUGAUAACAGCUUGCAUUGCUUUUUUGUACUUUUUCACAGUCUCCGUUGUUAUUGACUGUAAUUGGGCAUAUGAUUUCUAUUAUUAUUAUUAUUAUUAAUAAUAAUGAAGUGCAUUACUAUUUUUUUUUUACUUUCUUGUAUAACAGUAAAUUUUAACAUUCAUGAAUAACAACAAUUCUAUUUUAGCAUUAGAAACAAUACUGUGACUUAAGAACUUACACAUACUGGUGGAUUAAUCAUUAAAGAAACAUUAAAAAUUAUUUUGGUAAUUUCCAAUACUGUUAGUUUAGGGCAGCUGUGGCACAAACCUUACAUUGGGUGGUGGUAGUCUAAUGUUAUUGUUAUAUAUAUAUAUAUAUAUAUAUAUAUAUAGAGAGAGAGAGAGAGAGAGAGAGAGAGAGAGAGAGAGAGAGAGAGAGUAAAUACACAAUAAUAUAAUUGUAAAUAACACACAUUUAGUAAAUAAUACAUUUUACAUUAUACACAUACAUACACACAUAUUUUUAUCACUUCUGGUACCAUUAGUGCACUUCUAACCCUGAACUCCAUUGCACUGAAAACCUGUUGAUAGUAUGAUGUUCAUUCUCAAGAAUGAGAGCCAACUCUGAAAAUGUAAAAAUUUCAUUGACCCCUACGCAUUCCGAAAAAACAAAAAAGCCCAGGUUGUAAUCGGAUUCCCCCAGUCGAGGUGUUCUGUAGACCUGACCUCCGAACAGGUGUCAUGGUCAUGCUGAGGACAGUGCUGAAAUGAGAUAUUAGCGAGCCCUUCACUCAACGUGGUCAAAAUCAAUGAUCGUUGUAAGCAGCGGCCAGCACAGGAACAGUGGAGGCCAUUCUCUGUGUGAGAACUGCCCUCCGUCCAUCUGUCUCCAUUCUGGAGCCGACCCCCUCUGCACAGAACCUCUCCUGUGUGGUCACAACUGGACUAGAGUUACACGGCCCAUGUGUCCAGUGCAAGGCCAGACAACAAACAAGGCCGAAAGUGAAACCACUCUUUCCUGCCUCACACAAGCAAUUGCUCCACACAGGAAAAGUACUGUUUUUGCUUCUACAUACAUUCUUGAGCAAAAUCUUGGACACAAAUGGGAAGCAAACUGGAAAUAUAUAUAUUUUUUUCAUGUUAUAUAUGCAUUGUUUCGUGUUCUGGUUUCUCUGAAACACAGCAUGUGGUUUUGUGUAAUGUGUAAUAAAGUUACAUACAUUUUUGA